rnacentral:rRNA from 1 species
GACGAACGCUGGCGGCGUGCUUAACACAUGCAAGUCGAACGGUGAAGGGGUCUGCUUUUGUGGGCCCUGGAUGAGUGGCGAACGGGUGAGUAACACGUGAGUAACCUGCCCCCUUCUUCUGGAUAACCGCAUGAAAGUGUGGCUAAUACGGGAUAUUCUGGGUCUGUCGCAUGAUGGGUCUGGGAAAGAUUGCGCCUUUGGGUGUUUUUGGUGGGGGAUGGGCUCGCGGCCUAUCGGCUUGUUGGUGGGGUGAUGGCCUACCAAGGCGGUGACGGGUAGCCGGCCUGAGAGGGUGGACGGUCACACUGGGACUGAGACACGGCCCAGACUCCUACGGGAGGCAGCAGUGGGGAAUAGUGCACAAUGGGCGCAAGCCUGAUGCAGCGACGCCGCGUGAGGGAUGGAGGCCUUCGGGUUGUAAACCUCUUUCGCCAGUGAAGCAGGCCUGCUCCUUGUGGGUGGGUUGACGGUAGCUGGAUAAGAAGCGCCGGCUAACUACGUG